UGCAGACGACACUCCAAAAUGCAGCUGAAGGUUAGACAUCCGUGUCCGAGAUCUCUGCAACCCACGACACUCAGAUCCCAGCACUGAAGAGGAUCCUGCUACAUGUCUAUACAUCCAGUCAUUACGUUUUCAAAAUAAAAGAAGACAAAGCUGUCAAAUCAUAGUGGGACCUUGCCAAUGAGAGGAAAUGGGGGAAAGUCAUAGAGGAGUUGACUCAACCAUGACAGGAGGAAGGCAUCUGAGAUCAUAUUCCUCCCCACCCCCCCUCUGGAACAGAACCUGUGGCAACGGCGGAUCUGUUGGGUCGCAAACAGGUCUACUUGGGGAGUGCCCCAUGCUCAGAAAAGCAGGUCCUUGCCGUCAAAGGGGAGAUCUUGCAUCACAGACUGUGCCUCCGCGGAGAGCCCAGACAACAGUAGCCGUGAUGCCCUGCGCAUGGACACGGCUGAAGCCCUGGACCGGCAUCCAAUGCCUCCUGAAGAUCAGCCUUUGCGGUGGUGGUGCCCUCCUCCCCCAGCGCCUUAAAAUCCUUCCAUUCGCAUUCGGGCGGGGCUCAAAUUUCAGCAGUGACCCCCACAAGUUAAACUCAUAACGACUGAGGAGGGCCUGGUGGAUGGCCACCUGGAGCUGGA